rnacentral:lncRNA from 1 species
AUAUCCCGAACAGCUGAUUUUUCUCCAUUCCGUUGCUGCCUGGGGCUGGAAACCCAUUCCAUAACGCCAGUUGAAACAUAAAUUCAAUGAAUACAAACCCAACCAAUGAUAUCCAACAAUUUUCGUCCGGCCAAACAGUUGGGGAUUUCUGAUUAGUAAAUUCGAGACCCGCCCAGCGGUAAAGUGGGGCCAUUUUCCAAAGGAUCGCUCCUAUUGGGCGAAUUCAUCCAAGUUUCUUUGGUGGAAAUAAAUGGUGGCAUUAAAAAAAAAAUAUAUUAUUUCUACUACCGGUUUACCAAACAUUGUUCCUCACCAAUUUUCCGUAUCCCACCUACCAAGAUGGCUCCUAUAAGGGGCUGUACUAGAUAUUUGACAUGAAGUAACAAAUGUGCUGUUAUUUUCGCUAUUUCAAUAAAAUAUUCAACCGUAUUUAUUCAGAAUAGACAAUCGGUGUUUGUACCUCCAAUUGGUGUAAUCGUGAUUUUCAAAUAAUGCCUCAAAGUUCAAUUAAAACUCAAUAGAAUUUAAAAGCAGCGAAAUCUAAGGAAAAAAAAAAGAAAGACGAGAAGCUUAAAAAAAAAAGCAGCAAGUGUGAUUCGGUGAAAGAGAUCACAGCGUGUGUGCCAGACAGGUUGAAAUCUGCAUAGAUCGUGCCAUUCCAUAUACAGUUAUUAUUAAUAUUAAAAAUAAUAACAGAAACAACAAGACAACAAGAACAAAGAUUGCUCACAUCGGUCGUAAUAAAACCGAAAAAUAGGAAAACAUAUAUGAAAACAAUCUUAAAGAAGGAUUUCAUGAAAUAUAAAGCCACGACGAUUAGGAUAAUGAAUAAUUAAUCAUUACAAUCCAAGAUAAUUUGUACAAAAGCGAAUAUAUGAAAAUUGAAAGCACUCGUAGAAAUCACGUGAUUUGAAUUGAUAUUAACGCAUAAAUUUAAAAAGGAUAUCACAGUAAAUUUUUCACCACCAGAAUAAAUUGUUUCUUCUUUCUAUUGAUGCUAAAAACUAGACUUAGAAACUAGAAAAGCAAAACGAAAACAGAAAGAAACUAGAAAUCCAAAAUAAAAAAUAAUAAUCAUUCGAUAUUAGAUGUGUAGUGUAUUAUAGUGAUUCGAUUUUGAAUUGAAAAGAGAAUAUCGAAUUGACUGAAUGUCUUUUAUACGUGACUAUUUAACAUUUAAUAUAAAAAGAAAACGAUUCAUUAAGUCAAAAGAAAGCUGAAUUGUGAUGUCAUUUUGUACAACUAAUUAUUUUGUCUAACUCCAUUGUAUUACUAAUAUUAUUGUAAUUAUUUUUUUUGUACACAUCGUAUUAGAUGAUAUGUUCGAGAAAUUAAUUUCUUUAUUUAUUACAACAUAGAUUAGAAUUGCGAAUCAAUGAUGAACUUAAACUCCAAAUAGUAGAGAGAGAGGAACAAAAAAAAAAAAAA